AUGCUGUGGAAGUACAAAACAAGUUGCUCUGCUAUGCAAACUGUCUCUUUUGAGGCUCAGCAACUGCUCCAGAGAAGUCUCCUGUGUAAAACCCCAGGCUCCUGUGCAAUGUACCAGUCCAGCUUUGUGCCGCGGGAAUAUUACCCAGCCAUGAUCCUACCUUCUGCCUACACCUACCCACCGCUGCGGCGUGGGAGAGCAGAAGACAUGUCCAACUCUGUGAUGUUCCCUCCCAUCCACAUGCACAACUUCUACAGUCGCCCCCUCACCUUUGUGGUGGACCGGAACAGCUACCCCAACUAUGUGGGAGGUCAUGUGGAGUAUCACCAUCUCUAUAGUGCCUCCAAUCCCUAUAUCCAUCCAUACCACACCUGGCAGUUCCCUCCCAUGGUCCCUAUCCCUCUCUACAAUCCCUAUGCAAACUACCAUCCCUAUGCUGCCUGCCAGAGGUCAGAUCAGUAUCGAGACACGUGGCCAGAAGGCUUCACAAUGAGAGGGGAGCUUCAGUGGGGGAAGCUUGGAAAGGUGUUUGGGCCAAGGAAAGACCUCCCAGAGUUUGUGAAGGAUGAUCUCCGGAGGGUUUAUGGCACCUACCCCCGGACUAAUGUUUCCAUAUCCUAUCGGAAAGGAGAGUUCUUGGUCAAGGGAGACCCCAAGACAGAAGACCAGGAAUAUGCAGUAGAGAAAAAGGUCAUCCAGCGGGGUGUGACCCCCAGUGCCAGUGAGGCAGACGACAGCAGUGAGGACCGGAACCGUAAGAAGAAAAAGAAACUGAGACGUUGAGGUAGUUAGAUACCCAAUGGACUGAUCUCCAGUACCCUCUUGGGAGCCAGCUGGCAGCUGUUUUUGGUGUGGCUGGCAAGUAACACAAGCAAUGGAUGCCACCAUUCCUGUUGAUUUCUAAUUGCUCCCUAUUCUCCACAAUGGGUGGAUUUCCCCUUUUUGAUGCACAAUGAUCAUCCUGUGAAGAAACCACAUGAUACUUGACUGUUGGAUCAGCUCAUUGGUCCCAGUUUUGAAAUGAACAUUUGAUUUCCACUGGUUUGGUUGACUGGUCACAGCCUGGUGGGGGAUCUCCAAACUGCAGCCCUUGAUCAGAGAAGAUGUCUCUUCCUACUGUGUCCAGGGGAAGGGCCUGUAAGCUGGUUCUCUUCCUGGAGAGAUAAAAGCUGAAUUUCCUUCAGGAUGAGGGUUGUGCAGGUCCCAGUGGACAUGGGGGUUCUCAAACACUCUAAAGAGCAAUUGUCUGCAUGUCUUGUCACUGCUGUUUAUGACCAUAUCAUUGUGCUUUAUCACCACAGGAGGCCUGUAUGCCUCACUUCUCUACACUCUGGUGUCCCCACCCUCUUACACUUGAUAAUGUGGUGCUCAGUACCCCUGGCCACAUGUUCUUAUUGAAACUGCUGUUGAGGCCCUGCUCUGGGUCUGACUUGGCUCUGGUUGGAGGUUCUGGCUCUCCAAUGAGGUUACAGGAGUUGUUGAACCACAGCACUUCCAUAGCUUGGUGGUUGUACUGGAAGAGCUGUCCUGGAAGCCUGGAGGGACUGGGUCUGACUUACUUGCAAAUUUCUGUACCUUUUAAAUGACUAUAAACAAUUAAAAAAAAACCCAAAUGCAAAUGCUUGUAUUUCUGAUUCUUAACUACCUAAUAUCAGCCUCUUUUGUGAACAACUUGCAAUCAGAUCUGUCACCUGCUUGUGAAGUUAGGGAUGGCUGUGGUUCAUGCCCAGCCACAGUGGCUUGCUGCACUUGGCAGUACCCUGCCUUGUCCUAGUUUGUUUUC
ensembl:lncRNA